GAUGAACGCUGGCGGCGUGCCUAAUACAUGCAAGUCGAGCGAACGGACGAGAAGCUUGCUUCUCUGAUGUUAGCGGCGGACGGGUGAGUAACACGUGGAUAACCUACCUAUAAGACUGGGAUAACUUCGGGAAACCGGAGCUAAUACCGGAUAAUAUUUUGAACCGCAUGGUUCAAAAGUGAAAGACGGUCUUUCUGUCACUUCUAGCUGGAUCCGCGCUGCAUUAGCUAGUUGGUAAGGUAACGGCUUACCACGGCAACGAUGCAUAGCCGACCUGAGAGGGUGAUCGGCCACACUGGAACGGAGACACGGUCCAGACUCCUAAGGGAGGCAGCAGUAGGGAAUCUGACGCAAUGGGCGAAAGCCUGACGGAGCAACGCCGCGUGAGUGAUGAAGGUCUUCGGAUCGUAAAACUCUGUUAUUAGGGAAGAACAGAUGUGUAAGUAACUGUGCACAUCUUGACGGUACCUAAUCAGAAAGCCACGGCUAACUACGUG
rnacentral:rRNA from 1 species